CGUGACCAAAAAAAAAGAAGCCAUGACCUUGAAAACACCCACUCUGUGAAACAAAAUGAACCACUCAUCGCUAACUGGGAAAUAAGUACCGUCUACUGUAAGUGUGGGUGUUCUGCUUAAUGAUACAGUAACAUAAACAGGCUGACUUUUAAAAUGUAGGGAGGCAGGGAAAGGGAACUGGACACAAGAGAGGCUGUUGCAGGAGAGACAAAAAGAGAGAGGGAUGAAAAUGGGGGCAGGGUGAAACGAACAGACCUGGCCAAGGUACAACGAACUGAAAAAAGCAGGCACUUUCAUCACAGAGUGGACAGAUGGAGCUAAGAUCUCUGAGUCGUUCCUGGCAGGAGAGUCAUCAUUAAGGCGCCGUAGCAGAUAAACUGGUUCAGAUUGCCCAGUAUUACAGCUUCGACUGAUAAACAUUGAGAGCAAGCUAAGUGAGAGCGCUGUGAAGAACACGCCCUCUGUCUUGCACUACCUGACGUAUCGGAUGCACCAAGGUGUCCCAGAGAGCCUGAUCAUCAGUGUGUUUUUUGACUCCUGCGACGGAUUCUUCACUAACUACAGCUGGAUGGAGGACCAUCUUGAGCGAACGGUAUCCUGGCUCCCAAGCGGCUGGCGGAUGUCUAUGUGGGGGUUGACGUGUUUGCACGAGGGGCCGUCAUUGGAGGGAAGUUUGACACCAACAAGGUAGAGGAAGUGAAGAACUGGUUCAACUUGAGUGCGUAGGAAGUGAAGAACUGGUUCAACUUGAGUGCGCAGGAAGUGAAGAACUGGUUCAACUUGAGUGCGCAGGAACUCCAACCUCUCUUUGUAGACAUGAGGCCAGAGGCUGUGGAGAACGGCUGGGUGUGGACCCGAGGGUGCCCGGAGGAUGCCUGGAAUGGAGGCAGCUCCUCAUUGGUGGAAGGGGUGAUCCCUGCCUCCCUUUUCUGUGAUUUACUGCCUUGAUGAUGAUGUGCCAUUUAUCUAUUUUCACUAUGUGUAUGUAAUCACUAAGGGACUGCUAAAUUGUGCAGUACACUGUGUGGUUUUACUGUUGGUCCUCAUGCAGAAAUACAUUGUGGAAUCCACAAGAGAGAGAGCUUAAGAAUUAAGUGGUAAGUAAUGUUAUAUUUUAACAGGUUGUUUUCUGUUCGUGUUCUGGCACCUCCCAAAAUCUUCAUCUCCUUUAUUUAUAAAUUGGAAGGAGUGUCUGAUGUGAAAGUUGACCUGGAACUUAAGACCCAUCACGCCCCCUUCUGUUCGUUUGAGGACAUUAUUAUUAUUAUUAUUAUUAUUAUUAUUAUUAUUAUUAUUAUUAUUAUUAUUAUUAUUAUUAUUAUUUUUAUUAUUAUUAUUAUUUAUUUCUUAGCAGACGCCCUUAUCCAGGGCGACUUACAAUCGUAAGCAAAUACAUUUCAAGUGUUACAAUACAAGUAAUACAAUAAGAGCAAGAAAUACAAUAACUUUUGUUCAAGCAAAGUACAAGUGUGACAAACCACAAUUCAAUAAUACAGCAGAUAAUAGUGAUAGUUACAUCAGGAUAUGAUUACAUAGUGCUAGUUACAUCAGGAUGUGAUUAAAUACAAAGUACUACAGGUUAAACACUUGGCAGAUUACAGUAUUUUGAAGUACAGGAUUAAAUGCAGUAAAAUAGGGGGCAGAUAAGAGCAAAAUAAAGCACAUUUAAAUGAAGGGUGAUAGUGUCCCAGGAUACAAACAGAGGAGUUCUACAGGUGCUGUUUGAAGAGGUGAGUCUUACAGAAAUACCAGGUGGGCACAGUGUUAUUCAUCAUUGGGGACCUUCAGGUUUUUAUAAGAGUUGUAUUAACUAAUGCAUUCACCUUACCAUUUUCUGUAUCUGUCAUCACAUCCUGGUGACUUUUUAAAACUCAAGACUUGAUUGCAUGGGGCAGGUUAAAGGUUACAGUCUGUGAUGUACUUAGAACUUAGACAUGUUUCUGAGAGCUCAAUUGGGGACAACAGGUGUGUUUUAAACUUCUAGGAUUUAAAAAGUCUCAAUACAAGAGUGAUUCUAAAAAGAAAGAUGAAUGCAAUAUUUAAGAUAACUGUAAUAGUUCAAAACCAUACCAAAUUGUUACCUUGUGUUCUAGUAGGUGGAACAUGUACAAUAAUGUCCAACAUAGAGCACAGUAGGACGUGUGUGGCCUGAGCCCUUGUCGGAGCAGGACAGUAUGAUGCAGCAGUUCACCCAGCGCUGUGGAACCUGGACCCUGAUUGGGGAAGACAUGUGUGCUGCUUGUGCUGCAACUGUGCUGCUUGUCCUAUAUUAGGAAACGCCUUAGCUUUUAAGGAAUUUUACAGCAAUUACAAAACAAAGGCCGAAUUGUUUGUGUUGUGUUUAAUCGGUGUGCGUUUUCAGGUGUUUUCUGCUGGAGCUGAAAGGCUGCCUACUUUGUAAACAUCUCCCAGGUGCGGCCAGAUGAGCAGGAAGGUCAUUUCCUCCUCAGGAUCGGGGAGGUGAAGGUACAGCGACUCUUUCACUGUUAGAGAGAAGGAAGCUUGCUCUGUAAGCUGCCCUAAACAAGCAGAACAGGAGACCAGAGGGAGCCUCAAUCACAAUGCAUUCGCUCGUGAGUUAUUUAAAUUGCAGGCCCUCAACAGAAUAGUUAUGUGAAUAUGAAACUGUAUUUUAUUCACCAAUGGCUCACAAGUUAAAGGCUCCACUUUUCAAAGAAAACACUAUUCUGCCACAUACAAACAAAAAGCAUUGAAAUGCAUUCUUAGCUUCAGUAAAGCAGGAUGGGUGGAGAUUCACGGUGAUAAGGGCAGCAAUGGAAAUGGUAUAGAAGGCAAUGAAGGGUAGGAAAUUGCAAUUUAAAAUCUUGGGGACUGCACCUUUAAAAUAGGGCACAGUCAUCAGUUGUGGAAUCUGUAGUCAUUGAUCCUUUGUAAAACUUAAUCUACUGAAAACCCAUCAGGCACUGUGCACAUUUUCCUGGCCAUAGGGCAGGUUACACCAAAUUGGGCUAAUGUAAAAUGCAGCAGUUUGUUGCAUGCAGCGUUUUCACUAAUGUUCAAUUACAUUUUUGCUUUUUAAAUAUUUUGUUUAUCAAUGUGAUUAUUCUGUUUGCAUUGCCUAUGUCACCCGUGCCUUGAAACAAAAAUGCUACGUAAUGAAAUCAUUUUUCCGUGAACCAUAUACCUUGCUUUACCAAAUCUUUAAAAAAAAAUACAAAAAUAAACAAAAAAUAUGUGGCACAACUGCUUUUGCAUUCGCAGCCUGGGUAAGAAUCAGACUUGAAGGAGUUAAGUGUUGCAGUGUAGUCCUCAGUAGUCCAUUGUCCUUGUUAAAACAUCACACAUUUGGCACAAUCGUUGAUCUCUGCUCUAGACUGAAUAAAAAAAAGGCGGAUGGUAGUUGAGAGGAUUUGAGGGGCAUUGCCAUUCAUUGAGAACCGCGCAAAGUUUGCAUCUGCUUUGUUUAUUGUGUAGGUGCUCG